rnacentral:rRNA from 1 species
ACCGCGGUUAUACGAGAGGCCCAAGUUGACAGACACCGGCGUAAAGAGUGGCUAAGGAAAAAUCAUUACUAAAGCCGAACACCUUCAGAACUGUCAUACGUUCCCGAAGAUAAGAAGCCCCACCACGAAAGUGGCUUUAUAUUACCCGACCCCACGAAAGCUGUGAAACA